ensembl:lncRNA
GUGGAGGGAGAUGAAGGUGUCUACAGGAAGCCAGUGGAGGGAGAUGAAGGUGUCUACAGGAAGCCAGUGGAGGGACAUGAAGGUGUCUACAGGAAGCCAGUGGAGGGAGAUGAAGGUGUCUACAGGAAGCCAGUGGAGGGACAUGAAGAGGAGUGUGACAUGGGUCCUUUUGGGCUGGUUGAAGACCAGCAUGCUGCUAUUUAUAUGGAUUAUAUAUAUAUAUAUAUAAAAAUAAAAACACCACAUCUCUGUUAAACAGUACAUCUAUACUUUAUUAGCAAAUAGGCAAGCAAAUUAAAAUCAAUAAAAAUAUGUGGAGACACUGUUAAACAUAUGCCCUUUCAAUAUCACAGUCUAAUUAUUAAAACAUUAAAUAAUAACAAAAUUUCACCUUGGUUUACAUUUGGAAAUGGAGGUUUAUUUUUUUUAUUUUUUUCCCCCCUUCCGUCUUCUCUUUUCAAAUCCGUACGUACAGAACAUAUUGCUCAGAAAUGUGUAUAUAUUUUUCCGUCGUUCUUUGAUCGGGACUCUCUCGGGAUCGCUGUUUCACCUUUACAGGCCGUGCGUAGGAGAGAACGCGUCAGAAACGAGUUCCCAUAUACGAGUGACUACAUCACCGAAGCCACCAGACUGAACCCGGUAUACACCUGCUGGGUUCCUCGGAGGAUCUGAUUAACCCCGCCGAAUCCGGAGAUGUUUCGAAGCACGAAAGACGAGAUACCAGGACACGUCGGCGGUUUUCCUUAAACGUCUCGGGAAUUCCCGAACACGUCGAGACGUUAAGCCGUAGAGCUGCGUGUCGGGAAGCGUAACGUUAUUCCGACAAUUUACACACGUGUGAAAGAAAAAAAUAAAAAAUCAAAAAACAGAAUCAGACUCGUCUUAUUUGUGUGUUUUAAUUUAAUCGAUCAAUUUAUGUCAACAUUGUGAUACACGCUCGGAUUCCGUUAUUCAUUCCCUGGUCAAGUUUAUACCGGGUGUUUGACUGCUCAAUUCCGUGGAGAUUUUUUCCCGCCUUUACCGUCGAGCUAUUCUGUAAUAUUACACUUCCGGUUUGCAGAAAUAUCACGAUAUCGAUAUUUCCGUCAUAUCGCCAGCCCUACUAGCUGAAAGUCUUUAUAUCGCUGUGGAUCCACAUCAUUCCUCAUUGCUGUAACACAGCAUGAGUACAGAUUUAACCCUCACGCUCCAUCCAUCCAUCCAUCUUCCAUACCGCUUAUCCUACACAUGGCUGUAGUGGAGUGUGAAGCCUAUCCCAGGGGACUCGGGCCGCAAGGUGGGGUGCACCACCGACGGGGUCCCGAAUCAUCGCAGGGCACGAUCACACACAGCGUGGACUGCAAGCUUCGAACCCUCAACCCUGGAGGUGCGAGACAAACGUUCUAUCCGCUGAUCCCCUAGUUUAAUAAGACACUGUCCCCCAUUCUUAACCUUUAAUUAUUAAAAAAACGCUUUUUUUUUUUUUUUUUUUUAAAAGGUACAUCAACGUCAAGGUUUAACAGAGACCGUGUCAUCCGAGAGCUGUUCCCGAAUUCUCCGAAAGCAUCGCAGGACAAAAUGUCGCCAUAAAAACCUCAGACAGGGCUUCAAUAGUCAAUCAUUUGGAAACGGUUCAAAUAUUUCUUUCAGCCUCAGCACUUUUCUGGGAUUCCGCACUGAUUACAAAGUAAGCCAGUCUGGUUUUCAUCCCAUUAGAGAGUCAGGAGCGGUCGGCAGGUCUGGCCUUACAUUCCUCACCGUCGUUACUACGUACCUCUUGUACUUUCAGCGUAGUUACUCAAUAAUUCAUAUUCUUUAAGGUGAGCGAGUAAAUAAUAACGCGGGACUUUACGGGGUUGCGUUUGUUUCGUGUUUCAGACGACACGCCGCGUAAAUAUCAUUAUUAAUCUUAUUAUUGUUAUCUUAUGCUGAAUAACUGAAUGUCGAUGGUCGGAUUAUUUCCUUAUGAUUGUUAGUGAGGAGACUGGGGUAGCUAACAGCUCGGCAGUUCGGUGCAGGUCCGGCUGCCGAAACGUUCCGGAUGCUUCUGGGAGAGCAGGAACAGGAACUUACACUCAAUUUUGUUACAGCUUAUGAACACACAUUCUGCCGAACUUGACAAAAGACAUCACAGGAUUGUAGUGUAGUUUUAUACUGCGCUCUCUGGUGUGUGUGUGUGUGUGUGAACGAACUCCAGGGGUCCUGUAGGUGGGUUAUGGUGGUGUGUCACAGUGGGGGGUGUAACAUGUCUACUGGCACUGCUGCUCUCAGAGCUUCUGAGUGACACACACACACACACACACCACACACACACAGCCCUUCGCACAUGAAAGGAGUGGUUGACCAUUCUGUGUGAUGGAUGGGAUGAGAAGACUGAGUCAACGCUGGAUCAGAACAAAGCCUGGCUUGAUUAGGCCUCCCUAUGGGGGGGCAGCACUCUGCUCCAGGCUAUCAGAUCCAACACACACACACACUCUCACACACACUCUCACACACACACUCCUUCUAUCAGCUGGCAUUUAAUCAGCAAAUGCAGCACCAAAGCCAACAGAUCUGGACUUAAUUAAACUAAUCAACCUUCUUAAUGAGCAUUUUUCAGAUUUAAGUCUGAGACGAUCUCUCACACACACACACACACACACACACCACUGAGAUCAUUUCUCUUUAAAAAUAUCCAGGCGGAUCGGAACAGAGGAUCAAGCAGUGUUCUGGGUGAGAGUCUGUGUGUAAGACACAGAGAGACGGGACGAAGCGGCGGGGUUUGAUGUGGCGAUGCUGGGGGGG